rnacentral:rRNA from 1 species
UCCUACGGGACGCAGCAGUGAGGAAUAUUGGUCAAUGGGCGCGAGCCUGAACCAGCCAAGUCGCGUGAGGGAUGACGGCCCUACGGGUUGUAAACCUCUUUUGCCGGGGAGCAACGGGCGCCACGUGUGGCGCCACUGAGAGUACCCGGAGAAAAAGCAUCGGCUAACUCCGUGCCAGCAGCCGCGGUAAUACGGAGGAUGCGAGCGUUAUCCGGAUUUAUUGGGUUUAAAGGGUGCGCAGGCGGAAUGUCAAGUCAGCGGUAAAAUUUCGGGGCUCAACCCCGUCGUGCCGUUGAAACUGGCGU